AUUGAACGCUGGCGGCAGGCCUAACACAUGCAAGUCGAACGAGUGGCGGACGGGUGAGUAAUGUCUGGGAAACUGCCCGAUGGAGGGGGAUAACUACUGGAAACGGUAGCUAAUACCGCAUACCAUCGGAUGUGCCCAGAUGGGAUUAGCUAGUAGGUGGGGUAACGGCUCACCUAGGCGACGAUCCCUAGCUGGUCUGAGAGGAUGACCAGCCACACUGGAACUGAGACACGGUCCAGACUCCUACGGGAGGCAGCAUUGGGGAAUAUUGCACAAUGGGCGCAAGCCUGAGGCAGCCAUGCGGCGUGUAGGAAGAAGGCCUUCGGGUUGUAAAGUACUUUCAGCGGGGAGGCGUUACUCGCAGAAGAAGCACCGGCUAACUCCGUGCCAGCAGCCGCGGUAAUUC
rnacentral:rRNA from 1 species